GUAUAUAUUAAAUAGGCACAACAUUCUAUUAACAUACAUUGGGGGUAAAUGAAGCAACAUAGACCCUGGAGGGUCUACAAAAAGUGCACAGGUGGAGAUAUAAAGAUGACAAGGCGUGCACAUGCUCCCUAGAGAACCAGCAACAACCCAUCAGGUUUAUUUCAAUAAUGAUCCUUCCGCAGGUUCACCUACGGAAA
rnacentral:misc_RNA from 1 species